GCUGCUGUAGCUCAGUUGGUAGAGCGCGUCCUUGGUAAGGACGAGGUCGCGGGUCCGAGUCCCGCCAGCAGCU
rnacentral:tRNA from 1 species